AAAGCGUGCGCAGGCGGUUAUAUAAGACAGAUGUGAAAUCCCCGGGCUCAACCUGGGAACUGCAUUUGUGACUGUAUAGCUGGAGUGCGGCAGAGGGGGAUGGAAUUCCGCGUGUAGCAGUGAAAUGCGUAGAUAUGCGGAGGAACACCGAUGGCGAAGGCAAUCCCCUGGGCCUGCACUGACGCUCAUGCACUAAAGCGUGGGGAGCAAACAGGAUUAGAUACCCCAGU
rnacentral:rRNA from 1 species